GACGAACGCUGGCGGCGUGCCUAAUACAUGCAAGUAGAACGCUGAAGGAGGAGCUUGCUUCUCUGGAUGAGUUGCGAACGGGUGAGUAACGCGUAGGUAACCUGCCUGGUAGCGGGGGAUAACUACUGGAAACGAUAGCUAAUACCGCAUAAUAGUAGAUGUUGCAUGACAUUUGCUUAAAAGGUGCAAUUGCAUCACUACCAGAUGGACCUGCGUUGUAUUAGCUAGUUGGUGAGGUAACGGCUCACCAAGGCGACGAUACAUAGCCGACCUGAGAGGGUGAUCGGCCACACUGGGACUGAGACACGGCCCAGCCUCCUACGGGAGGCAGCAGUAGGGAAUCUUCGGCAAUGGACGGAAGUCCGACCGAGCAACGCCGCGUGAGUGAAGAAGGUUUUCGGAUCGUAAAGCUCUGUUGUAAGAGAAGAACGAGUGUGAGAGUGGAAAGUUCACACUGUGACGGUAUCUUACCAGAAAGGGACGGCUAACUACGUG
rnacentral:rRNA from 1 species